GAUGGGUACUGCUAAAUAUAAUUUAAGCUAUUUAAACUAUCUAAAAAUGAAAAUUUUAAAAUUUUUCAAUGUUGUUCUUUUGUGCAUCAAAUGAACAUAAAAAUGAACGCAUAAAAAUUAGGGAUAAUUGUCUAUAUACUCCUUAUACGUUUGAAAAUAUCCGAUUUAUCUCUACUUUUUUUUUUUUUUUCUUUCUAAAAUACCCCUCAUAUGUUCUACCGUUAUUGUAAAAUAUCUCCGCAGUUAUCUCUUGUUAAGUUAAUUUGGAUUAAACGUGAGUUAAACAUCUACCAAAGUUAAAAAAAAUUAAAAUGCCAAUUUUGCCCUUAACUUAAGGGCAAAUAAGAAAUGUUGGUGACAGUAGAGGGGUAUAUUGGAAAAGAUCAAAAGUCAAAAUACUUUUUGUGCCCCUAACUUUAAGGGCAAAUAAGAAAGUCAGUGAUGGUGGAAGGUAUAUUUGAAAGGACAAAAUAGUAAUUUUAUAGAGAUAAUAGAGUUAAUUAACAAAUUUUAACUCUAGAGGUAUAUUAGAAAUAAGUUGGAACGCAGAAAGAGUAUUUUCAAUAUUAGCCUUCUAAGAGGGGUAAAUCGAAAAGUCGAGAACUUUUUAGGAGUAUAUAAGCAAUUGCCCCUAAAAAUUAAUAUCCUUCAAAAGUAAUGAUACGAUUUUGACCUCAAGAUUUAAAAUCUAGAUCUUACUUUAGAUAGUAUAAAAAAAAUCAUAUAAAAAUUUUUUAGUGG
rnacentral:lncRNA from 1 species